GGAAUAUUGGUCAAUGGACGAGAGUCUGAACCAGCCAUGCCGCGUGGAGGAUUAAGGCCUUCUGGGUUGUAAACUUCUUUUAUCAGGGAAGAAAACCGGGAUUUCUAUCCCGUCCGACGGUCCCUGAUGCAUAAGCACCGGCUAACUCCGUGCCAGCAGCCGCGGUAAUACGGAGGGUGCAAGCGUUAUCCGGAUUUACUGGGUUUAAAGGGUGUGUAGGCGGGCAUUUAAGUCAGAGGUGAAAUCUCCGGGCUCAACCCGGAAACUGCCUUUGAUACUAUUUGUCUUGAAUUUCGUUGAGGUUGGCGGAAUAUAUCAUGUAGCGGUGAAAUGCAUAGAUAUGAUAUAGAACACCGAUUGCGAAGGCAGCUGGCUGAACGAACAUUGACGCUGAGGCACGAAAGCGUGGGUAGCG
rnacentral:rRNA from 1 species